CCUACGGGAGGCAGCAGUGGGGAAUAUUGGGCAAUGGGCGCAAGCCUGACCCAGCAACGCAGCGUGAAGGAAGAAGGCUUUCGGGUUGUAAACUUCUUUUCUCAGGGACGAAGCAAGUGACGGUACCUGAGGAAUAAGCCAAGGCUAACUACGUGCCAGCAGCCGCGGUAAUACGUAGGUGGCAAGCGUUAUCCGGAUUUACUGGGUGUAAAGGGCGUGUAGGCGGGGACGCAAGUCAGAUGUGAAAACCACGGGCUCAACCUGUGGACUGCAUUUGAAACUGUGUUUCUUGAGUACUGGAGAGGCAGGCGGAAUUCCUAGUGUAGCGGUGAAAUGCGUAGAUAUUAGGAGGAACACCAGUGGCGAAGGCGGUCUGCUGGACUGCAACUGACGCUGAGGCGCGAAAGCGUGGGGAGCAAACAGGAUUAGAUACCCCUGUAGUC
rnacentral:rRNA from 1 species